rnacentral:rRNA from 1 species
AAGCUCGUAGUUGGAUCCCAGUUGCAGACGGGCGGUCCGCCUCAUGGCGGUUCACUGCCCCGUUCUCGACAUACCUCCGGUUAUAUUUGUCCCGCGAUGCUCUUUACCGGGUGUCGCGGGGGGCCGGUACGUUUACUUUGAAAAAAUUAGAGUGCUCAAAGCAGGCGAUGGCCAGAAUAAUGGUGCAUGGAAUAAUGGAAUAGGACCUCGGUUCUAUCUUGUUGGUUCUUCGGAACACGAGGUAAUGAUUAAUAGGGACGGACGGGGGCAUUCGUAUUGCGACGUUAGAGGUGAAAUUCUUGGAUCGUCGCAAGACGAACUACUGCGAAAGCAUUUGCCAAGAAUGUUUUCGUUAAUCAAGAACGAAAGUUAGAGGUUCGAAGGCGAUCAGAUACCGCCCUAGUUCUAACCAUAAACGAUGCCAACCAGCGAUCCGUCGGCGUUACUUCGAAUGACCCGACGAGCAGCUUCCGGGAAACCAAAGUUUCUGGGUUCCGGGGGAAGUAUGGUUGCAAAGCCGAAACUUAAAGGAAUUGACGGAAGGGCACCACCAGGAGUGGAGCCUGCGGCUUAAUUUGACUCAACACGGGAUACGGAAAGUUUCCACGG